rnacentral:misc_RNA from 1 species
AUUGAAGUUAGGAAAAUGACUUCCCAUUUUGAAAACAUGAAGUUGCCUUUUCUUAAAAAUAGCUUAAUAUCAAGACCAGUAAAAAAAUAAUCUGUUAACAAAUUUUCCCAAAUGAAGUUUUUAUUUCUCCAUCAAAAGAUUAUCAAAGACAAAUUUAGCUGGAGUUGUUUUAGCCAAGAAAUGAUUAUAGAUAUCAAAGAGGGCAUUUUGCUGCAUUAAAAUUCAAAAAGUUGCUCAGUUCUG